rnacentral:tRNA from 1 species
GUACUUGCCUCAGUGGUAGAGGACUUGCCUCGCGUGCGUGAGGUGCUGGGUUCAAUCCUCAGCACCACA